UCGGACCUGUCUGAUUCCGUCAAUGACGAUGAUUCCAACCACGAGGCGGCGGCUAACCGACUGAAGCGCUGGAGUCCUAGAUUCAACCUGUUUGAUCAUCUUUCUGGCAAAGGAGCUUCGGCAAAUCCCAAACCUGCGGCUGCUAAACCCACUCCCGGAGGAGGAGGGUUCAAUCUGGCAGAUGGUCUUCUCCCAGAGCCCAAACCUUCCAAGCCUUCUGGAGGAAAUGAUUUUGGAUUCAACCUGGACGAUGCUCUCCGUCCAGCUGUUAAACCCAGCGGUGGCGAUUACCAGGAAAACCUGGUCCAAACACUGAGCAAGGUCAUCGAGAAUCAGAACCAGGAGCUCCGCCUCCUGCAGCAGCUCAUGUCUCGCUCUUCCCGCUUCUGUGGAAAACGUUAAAUGUGGAGAUGCAGGAAG